UACGUAGGGUGCAAGCGUUUGUCCGGAAUUAUUGGGCGUAAAGAGCUCGUAGGCGGUUUGUCGCGUCCGCUGUGAAAACUCGGGGCUUAACCCCGGGCCUGCAGUGGGUACGGGCAGACUGGAGUACUGCAGGGGAGACUGGAAUUCCUGGUGUAGCGGUGGAAUGCGCAGAUAUCAGGAGGAACACCGGUGGCGAAGGCGGGUCUCUGGGCAGUAACUGACGCUGAGGAGCGAAAGCGUGGGGAGCGAACAGG
rnacentral:rRNA from 1 species